AAUAGAUACCCGGGUAGUCCACGCCGUAAACGAUGGAUGCUAGCUAUUGGGGGGAAUCGACCCCCUCCGAAGCGAAGCUAACGCGUUAAGCAUCCCGCCUGAGUAGUACGAGCGCAAGCUUAAAACUCAAAGGAAUUGACGGGGACCCGCACAAGCGGUGGAGCGUGUGGUUUAAUUCGAUGGUAAACGAAGAACCUUACCAAGGUUUGACAUCCCGGUAGCCGUUCUCCGAAAGGAGAAUUUCAUUUAGUUGGACCGGUGACAGGUGAUGCAUGGCCGUCGUCAGCUCGUGUCGUGAGAUGUUGGGUUAAGUCCCGCAACGAGCGCAACCCUUAUGAUUUAGUUGGAUUUUUCUAAACAGACUGCCCUGGUAACAGGGAGGAAGGAGGGGAUGAUGUCAGGUCAGUAUUUCCCUUGCACCUUGGGCGACACACGCGCUACAAUGGCCGGUACAAUGGGCAGCUAAGCCGCGAGGUGGAGCAAAUCCCAUCAAAGCCGGUCCCGAGUUCGGAUUGCAGGCUGAAACCCGCCUGCAUGAAGCCGGAAUCGCUAGUAA
rnacentral:rRNA from 1 species